rnacentral:rRNA from 1 species
UACGUAGGGUGCGAGCGUUGUCCGGAAUUAUUGGGCGUAAAGAGCUUGUAGGCGGUUUGUCGCGUCUGCUGUGAAAAUCCGAGGCUCAACCUCGGACUUGCAGUGGGUACGGGCAGACUAGAGUGUGGUAGGGGAGGACUGGAAUUCCUGGUGUAGCGGUGAAAUGCGCAGAUAUCAGGAGGAACACCGAUGGCGAAGGCAGGUCUCUGGGCCACUACUGACGCUGAGAAGCGAAAGCGAUUGGGAGCGAACAGGAUUA